GACGAACGCUGGCGGCGUGCUUAACACAUGCAAGUCGAACGGAAAGGCCCCUUUGGGGGUACUCGAGUGGCGAACGGGGGAGUAACACGUGAGUAACCUGCCCUGGACUUCGGAAUAACUUCAGGAAACUGGGGCUAAUACCGGAUAGGAAUCCUUGCUGCAUGGUGGGGGUUGGAAAGCUUCGGCGGUUUUGGAUGGACUUGCGGCUUAUCAGCUUGUUGGUGGGGUAGUGGCUUACCAAGGCUUUGACGGGUAGCCGGCCUGAGAGGGCGACCGGCCACAUUGGGACUGAGAUACGGCCCAGACGCCGACGGGAGGCAGCAGUGGGGAAUAUUGCACAAUGGGCGGAAGCCUGAUGCAGCAACGCCGCGUGCGGGAUGACGGCCUUCGGGUUGUAAACCGCUUUCAGCAGGGGCGAAGCUUGUGGUGACGUUACCUGCAGAAGAAGCACCGGCUAACUACGUG
rnacentral:rRNA from 1 species